AGAGUUUGAUCCUGGCUCAGGACGAACGCUGGCGGCGUGCCUAAUACAUGCAAGUAGAACGCUGAAGAGAGGAGCUUGCUCUUCUUGGAUGAGUUGCGAACGGGUGAGUAACGCGUAGGUAACCUGCCUUGUAGCGGGGGAUAACUAUUGGAAACGAUAGCUAAUACCGCAUAACAAUGGAUGACACAUGUCAUUUAUUUGAAAGGGGCAAUUGCUCCACUACAAGAUGGACCUGCGUUGUAUUAGCUAGUAGGUGAGGUAAUGGCUCACCUAGGCGACGAUACAUAGCCGACCUGAGAGGGUGAUCGGCCACACUGGGACUGAGACACGGCCCAGACUCCUACGGGAGGCAGCAGUAGGGAAUCUUCGGCAAUGGGGGCAACCCUGACCGAGCAACGCCGCGUGAGUGAAGAAGGUUUUCGGAUCGUAAAGCUCUGUUGUAAGUCAAGAACGGGUGUGAGAGUGGAAAGUUCACACUAUGACGGUAGCUUACCAGAAAGGGACGGCUAACUACGUGCCAGCAGCCGCGGUAAUACGUAGGUCCCGAGCGUUGUCCGGAUUUAUUGGGCGUAAAGCGAGCGCAGGCGGUUUGAUAAGUCUGAAGUUAAAGGCUGUGGCUCAACCAUAGUUCGCUUUGGAAACUGUCAAACUUGAGUGCAGAAGGGGAGAGUGGAAUUCCAUGUGUAGCGGUGAAAUGCGUAGAUAUAUGGAGGAACACCGGUGGCGAAAGCGGCUCUCUGGUCUGUAACUGACGCUGAGGCUCGAAAGCGUGGGGAGCGAACAGGAUUAGAUACCCUGGUAGUCCACGCCGUAAACGAUGAGUGCUAGGUGUUGGAUCCUUUCCGGGAUUCAGUGCCGCAGCUAACGCAUUAAGCACUCCGCCUGGGGAGUACGACCGCAAGGUUGAAACUCAAAGGAAUUGACGGGGGCCCGCACAAGCGGUGGAGCAUGUGGUUUAAUUCGAAGCAACGCGAAGAACCUUACCAGGUCUUGACAUCCCGAUGCUAUUUCUAGAGAUAGAAAGUUACUUCGGUACAUCGGUGACAGGUGGUGCAUGGUUGUCGUCAGCUCGUGUCGUGAGAUGUUGGGUUAAGUCCCGCAACGAGCGCAACCCCUAUUGUUAGUUGCCAUCAUUCAGUUGGGCACUCUAGCGAGACUGCCGGUAAUAAACCGGAGGAAGGUGGGGAUGACGUCAAAUCAUCAUGCCCCUUAUGACCUGGGCUACACACGUGCUACAAUGGUUGGUACAACGAGUUGCGAGUCGGUGACGGCGAGCUAAUCUCUUAAAGCCAAUCUCAGUUCGGAUUGUAGGCUGCAACUCGCCUACAUGAAGUCGGAAUCGCUAGUAAUCGCGGAUCAGCACGCCGCGGUGAAUACGUUCCCGGGCCUUGUACACACCGCCCGUCACACCACGAGAGUUUGUAACACCCGAAGUCGGUGAGGUAACCUUUUGGAGCCAGCCGCCUAAGGUGGGACAGAUGAUUGGGGUGAAGUCGUAACAAGGUAGCCGUAUCGGAAGGUGCGGCUGGAUCACCU
rnacentral:rRNA from 1 species